rnacentral:rRNA from 1 species
CCUAACGCGAGGCCGAAAGGCGUAGUGGAUGGAAAGCAGGCGAAAGAUUCCUGCACCCGUAUAUGGAGCGAAGGAGUGACGGAGACGGAUAGUGUGACCCUCUUAAUGGAUUGAGGGCGAAGCGAAGCGGCUGGUUACCAGGCAAAUCCGGUAACCGCAAGGCUAGGGCGUGACAGGCAAGCGAAAUCCAAGGAAAGUAGCGAAGCACAUGAUGACGGCUUCCAGGAAAAGCUUCUGGCAAUGCAUAUGCGGCCCGUACCAAAACCGACACAGGUGGGCAGGGAGAGAAUCCCGAGGUGAGCGAGAGAACUGUUGCCAAGGAACUCGGCAAAAUGACUCCGUAAGUUAGCGAGAAGGA